CUACGGGCGGCUCCAGUGGGGAAUAUUGGGCAAUGGGCGCAAGCCUGACCCAGCAACGCCGCGUGAGGGAAGAAGGUCCUCGGAUUGUAAACCUCUGUCCCCCGGGACGAAAAAAAUGACGGUACCGGGGGAGGAAGCUCCGGCUAACUACGUGCCAGCAGCCGCGGUAAUACGUAGGGAGCGAGCGUUGUCCGGAAUUACUGGGCGUAAAGGGUGCGUAGGCGGCAAGGCAAGUCAGGUGUGAAAUCCCCGGGCUUAACUCGGGGGGUGCAUUUGAAACUGCUUUGCUUGAGUACAGGAGAGGAAAGCGGAAUUCCUAGUGUAGCGGUGAAAUGCGUAGAUAUUAGGAGGAACACCAGUGGCGAAGGCGGCUUUCUGGACUGUCACUGACGCUGAGGCACGAAAGCGUGGGGAGCAAACAGGAUUAGAUACCCUAGUAGUC
rnacentral:rRNA from 1 species